AAUUAAAUGGCUGAUCUAAAGCACGGAGUUUUUAACCCCGUUAUGGCUUGUCCUUUACUUC
rnacentral:tRNA from 1 species